GGAGUUUGGUCCGUGUCUCAGUACCAAUGUGGGGGACCUUCCUCUCAGAACCCCUACUGAUCGAUGGCUAGGUGGGCCGUUACCCCGCCUACUACCUAAUCAGACGCAUCCCCAUCCCAGAGCGAUAAAUCUUUAGUGAAACUCUGAUGCCAUCAUCGCACUACAUCAGGUAUUAGGCUCCCUUUCGGAAGGUUAUCCCUGACUCUGGGGCAGGUUGGAUACGCGUUACUCACCCGUGCGCCGGUCGUCGUCAAGGAAAGCAAGCUUUCCUCACGUUACCCCUCGACUUGCAUGUGUUAAGCCUGUAGCUAGCGUUCAUC
rnacentral:rRNA from 1 species